rnacentral:rRNA from 1 species
GUGACGAAGCGACGCCGCGUGUGGGAAGAAGGCCUUCGGGUUGUAAACCACUGUCAGGAGUUAAGAAAUGUAAGGGUGCUAAUAGUAUCCUUACUUGACUAAGGCUCCAGAGGAAGCCACGGCUAACUCUGUGCCAGCAGCCGCGGUAAUACAGAGGUGGCAAGCGUUGUGCGGAAUUAUUGGGCGUAAAGAGCACGUAGGCGGUUCUGCAAGUCGGCUGUGAAAGCCUUCCGCUCAACGGAAGAACAGCAGUUGAUACUACAGGACUAGAGUGCGGGAGGGGAGAGUGGAACUUCUGGUGGAGCGGUGAAAUGCGUAGAUAUCAGAAGGAACGCCGGCGGCGAAAGCGACUCUCUGGCCCGUAACUGACGCUGAGUGUGCGAAAGCUAGGGGAGCAAACGGGAUUAGAUACCCCGGUAGUCCUAGCCGUAAACGAU